GCACUGCCGAGGAGUCCCACAAUAGAACGAAACGGUCGUCUAGUGC
rnacentral:hammerhead_ribozyme from 1 species